UAAGGAAUAUUGGUCAAUGGACGCAAGUCUGAACCAGCCAUGCCGCGUGAAGGAUGAAGGUCCUCUGGAUUGUAAACUUCUUUUAUCUGGGACGAAAACGGGAUUUUUAUCUUAAUUGACGGUACCAGAGGAAUAAGCACCGGCUAACUCCAUGCCAGCAGCCGCGGUAAUACGGAGGGUGCGAGCGUUAUCCGGAUUUACUGGGUUUAAAGGGUGCGUAGGUGGGCUUAUAAGUCAGUGGUGAAAUCUCCGAGCUUAACUUGGAAACUGCCGUUGAUACUAUAGGUCUUGAAUUAUCUGGAGGUAAGCGGAAUAUGUCAUGUAGCGGUGAAAUGCUUAGAUAUGACAUAGAACACCAAUUGCGAAGGCAGCUUACUACAUAUAAAUUGACGCUGAGGCACGAAAGCGUGGGGAUCAAACA
rnacentral:rRNA from 1 species